GUGUCAGCCGCGCGGUAAUACGGAGGAUCCGAGCGUUAUCCGGAUUUAUUGGGUUUAAAGGGAGCGUAGAUGGAUGUUUAAGUCAGUUGUGAAAGUUUGCGGCUCAACCGUAAAAUUGCAGUUGAUACUGGAUAUCUUGAGUGCAGUUGAGGCAGGCGGAAUUCGUGGUGUAGCGGUGAAAUGCUUAGAUAUCACGAAGAACUCCGAUUGCGAAGGCAGCCUGCUAAGCUGCAACUGACAUUGAGGCUCGAAAGUGUGGGUAUCAAACAGGAUUAGAUACCCUGGUAGUCCACACGGUAAACGAUGAAUACUCGCUGUUUGCGAUAUACAGCAAGCGGCCAAGCGAAAGCGUUAAGUAUUCCACCUGGGGAUACGCCGGCAACGGUGAAACUCAAAGGAAUUGACGGG
rnacentral:rRNA from 1 species